CAGCACCUCAAGUGGUCAGGAUGAUUAUUGGGCCUAAAGCAUCCGUAGCCUGCUUUGUUAGUUUUCGGUUAAAUCCAUACGCUCAACGUAUGGGCUGCCGGGAAUACUGCAAAGCUAGGGAGUGGGAGAGGUGGACGGUACUCGGUAGGAAGGGGUAAAAUCCUUUGAUCUAUUGAUGACCACCUGUGGCGAAGGCGGUCUACCAGAACACGUCCGACGGUGAGGGAUGAAAGCUGGGGGAGCAAACCGGAUUAGAUACCCGCGUAGUCC
rnacentral:rRNA from 1 species